rnacentral:rRNA from 1 species
GACGAACGCUGGCGGCGUGCUUAACACAUGCAAGUCGAACGAUGAAGAAAAGAAUUGAAGCUUCGGCAGAAAUUCAUUUCGGAUUAGUGGCAGACGGGUGAGUAUCGCGUGAGCAACCUACCUCUUACAAAGGGAUAGCCUCGGGAAACCGGGAUUAAUACCAUAUAACAUUGCGACGAAGCAUUUCGAUGCAAUCAAAGCUACGGCGGUAAGAGAUGGGCUCGCGUCCCAUUAACCAGAUGGUGAGGUAACGGCUCACCAUAGUAACGAUGGGUAACCGGCCUGAGAGGGUGAACGGUCACACUGGAACUGAGACACGGUCCAGACUCCUACGGGAGGCAGCAGUGGGGAAUAUUGCACAAUGGAGGGAACUCUGAUGCAGCGACGCCGCGUGAGUGAUGAAGGAAUUCGUUUCGUAAAACUCUGUUCUAUGGGAAGAAAAGGACUGUACCAUAGGAGAAAGCUCCGGCUAAAUACGUG